CCCCGCUCCCCCAGUAAGCUUGGUGGGUGGACAGAUCCCAAAGGAUGGUGGGACAGUGGAAACUAUGGAGAGAGAAGAGGAACAUCAGGAAGUAGCCUGGGCUCAGGAAGUGCCCUAACACUUAGGAAGAGAGAGGGCUAAGAACAUUGUGCUGAAUUCUGGUUGACAUAUCUUGGCCACACUGAGUGAUGCCCUGGGAACUGUUCCAAAACAGAGGGAGAAUGUGUGCAAGUGUGGCUAUGCCCAGAGCCAGCACAUGGAAGGCACCCAGAUCAACCAAAGCGAGAAAUGGAACUACAAGAAACACACCAAGG
rnacentral:sRNA from 1 species